CCUACGGGUGGCAGCAGUGGGGGAUAUUGCACAAUGGGGGGAACCCUGAUGCAGCGACGCCGCGUGGGUGAAGGAGCGUUUCGGCGCGUAAAGCUCUAUCGGCAGGGAAGCAGAUGACGGUACCUGACCAAGAAGCCCCGGCUGACUACGUGCCAGCAGGCGCGGUAACAAGUAGGGGGCAAGCGUUAUCCGGAUUUACUGGGUGUAAAGGGGGCGCAGGCGGCAAUGCAAGCCAGGAGUGAAAGCCCCGGGCCCAACCCCGGGACUGCUCUUGGAACUGCAUGGUUGGAGUACAGGAGGGGCAGGCGGAAUUCCUAGUGUAGCGGUGAAAUGCGUAGAUAUUAGGAGGAACACCGGUGGCGAAGGCAGCCUGCUGGACUGUGACUGACGUUGAGGCCCGAAGGCGUGGGGAGCAAACAGGAUUAGAGACCCGGGUAGUC
rnacentral:rRNA from 1 species